UAGCCAGUUGACAUUACACGAGAAUGAAAGUUUGAGUCCUAGGAAACAUCAGCACUCAGAUACUGAAUCCAAACUGCAAGACAAGAGGGCUGGUCACAGUGGAAGAAGUAAAUUGACAAAGAGAUGGGAUAUUGAGGAAGGGAUGAGUGGAGGAUUCAUUCUUGCAGGAUUUGAAAAUGGGGUACUGGAACAAAAUGGUAUGGAAGUGAAAGGAGUCUCUGUAAAGAGCUCACUGGCUCUGGCACAAUAGGCUGCAAGCGCAAGUUCACAGUAUUCCCAGUUUGACCAAUUUCUCCUCUGCCCCCAGGCUCUAUCCCCAAAGACAAGCAGGGGAAGGAGAGAACUAAUGAAGAAACUAAAGAAAGACGGACAACAGUGUGAGUCAAAAAGAAUGGCAAGAGUAGAGACAGAAGAUGUAGAAACAAUAGCUGCGAUAUGAUUGCUUCAGCAGAGCAAAGACAAGAAAGCAGGAGACAGGGCUGAGUGUCUGCUUUCUGCAGUGGACAACAUGUUUGAUUCACAGAUAUGCUAGGUAGACAGUGCUUCAUCC